GCCAGGAUAGCCCAGUGGGUAGAGCAGGAGACUCAUAAUCUCAGUGUCAUGGGCUUGAGCCCCAAGUUGGGCA